GGUGAACGCUGGCGGCGUGCCUAAUACAUGCAAGUCGAGCGAACAGACGAGGAGCUUGCUCCUCUGACGUUAGCGGCGGACGGGUGAGUAACACGUGGAUAACCUACCUAUAAGACUGGGAUAACUUCGGGAAACCGGAGCUAAUACCGGAUAAUAUAUUGAACCGCAUGGUUCAAUAGUGAAAGACGGUUUUGCUGUCACUUAUAGAUGGAUCCGCGCCGCAUUAGCUAGUUGGUAAGGUAACGGCUUACCAAGGCAACGAUGCGUAGCCGACCUGAGAGGGUGAUCGGCCACACUGGAACUGAGACACGGUCCAGACUCCUACGGGAGGCAGCAGUAGGGAAUCUUCCGCAAUGGGCGAAAGCCUGACGGAGCAACGCCGCGUGAGUGAUGAAGGUCUUCAGAUCGUAAAACUCUGUUAUUAGGGAAGAACAAAUGUGUAAGUAACUAUGCACGUCUUGACGGUACCUAAUCAGAAAGCCACGGCUAACUACGUG
rnacentral:rRNA from 1 species